AGUGAACGCUGGCGGUAGGCCUAACACAUGCAAGUCGAGCGGCAGCACAGUAAGAGCUUGCUCUUACGGGUGGCGAGUGGCGGACGGGUGAGGAAUACAUCGGAAUCUACUUUUUCGUGGGGGAUAACGUAGGGAAACUUACGCUAAUACCGCAUACGACCUACGGGUGAAAGCAGGGGAUCUUCGGACCUUGCGCGAUUGAAUGAGCCGAUGUCGGAUUAGCUAGUUGGCGGGGUAAAGGCCCACCAAGGCGACGAUCCGUAGCUGGUCUGAGAUGAUGAUCAGCCACACUGGAACUGAGACACGGUCCAGACUCCUACGGGAGGCAGCAGUGGGGAAUAUUGGACAAUGGGCGCAAGCCUGAUCCAGCCAUACCGCGUGGGUGAAGAAGGCCUUCGGGUUGUAAAGCCCUUUUGUUGGGAAAGAAAAGCAGCAGGUUAAUACCCCGCUGUUCUGACGGUACCCAAAGAAUAAGCACCGGCUAACUUCGUG
rnacentral:rRNA from 1 species